UACGUAGGCAGCAAGCGUUGUUCGGAAUUACUGGGCGUAAAGAGUGUGUAGGCGGUGCUCUAAGUUCGGUGUGAAAUCUCCCGGCUCAACUGGGAGGGUGCGCCGAAAACUGGAGUGCUGGAGCGCGGGAGAGGAAAGCGGAAUCCUGGUGUAGCGGUGAAAUGCGUAGAUAUCAGGAGGAACACCGGCGGUGUAGACGGCUUUCUGGACCGUAGCUGACGCUGAGACACGAAAGCGUGGGUAGCAAACAGG
rnacentral:rRNA from 1 species